GGCUGCUUGUCCCGUACGAAGCAAGCCACUUGCUAGCCACACUCACCAUUUCCCCCAGGCAAGCCUCUUUAAGUAUGAGCCUUUCACCCACUCACCCAGCGAAUAUCUAUGGAGCACUUAUUAAGCAUCAAAAAUGGGCCAACUAAAGUCCGGGGAGGAAUGUGACUGUUAAACACUAAUUACAACUGCAAUGAUUUCAGAGAAAAGAAGUCCAGGCUGUUGUGCAGAGAUGUACUGGGGGGCCUAACCCACCUGGGAGGCCAGGGAAAUUUUCCCUGUAGAUGUCCAAAGGAUGAACAGAAUUUGGGAUUUGGUCAGACAAUGGCAGGGGCAGGGGCAGGGGAUUGUGCCCCCACCCACACACCCCACACGCACACAGUCCUUCUCUGCCCCUGCCCUCCAGCCAGUCUGAACUAU
rnacentral:lncRNA from 1 species